AUAUCCACGCCUAAUCUCAACCGUGAAUCUUUAAGGAUACUUUAAUCUUUAUCGUCCAUCUCAUAACGUUUAUAUAAAUUCCCAUUUGCUCUCGUAUGCUUCUUCAAACUCCUUUAUUUUAAAAUUUUCUUAUCUUCUCAAGUGACAACAAUUACAACAAUCUCACGAUGGCACACCCAACCGGAUACUUGAAUCCUGCUUCUUAUACCUGUCAGAUGAUCAAUUCGAUCAGAUCUACCACACGUCCGAUACAGACAAAGGGUUGCAUGGAUAGGGAUCUCGAAGAGUGCUUUCAAGUGUGGCUUCAAGCUUCCCCUUCUUCCCCUCAUUAGGAAACUAUUUAAGGUAAUGAGUAUCGCUCUCAGGCAGAUGGACCCGAAUAACUUUAUAUAUAUAAAUUUCUUCUGGCAUAUGAGCUUAUGGCUCGACAUCGAGUCUCGGCUAUACUCUUAUAGAGUCAGUAUCACUUCAAGAAAUAUUUCAAGAGCAACGGCUUGGCCGUCCAGAAUGGUGUCAGACCAACACCGACAAAAAAGUGAUUCAUAAUAAAUAAUUUUACAUCGAUGGCCAUUCUCUUAACAAGUAUUUAGUAUGGAGAGAGGUCGGCGCAACAUAAUGAGCAACGACCACAUGGACUUUGACUGGUUAAGUCAACCGAUGAAAUCAAAAUUCUUCUCCCAACCAGCCGAGACAAGGAGCGGCUUUACUCAUUCUGUGUAGUGAUUGCGAAGCGCUUUUUUAAUUUUUGAUUUCAUUAUGCAUUCAUAUCUGUUUUCAACCUAUUUUGACUUGUCUUUUUUUCCUCUUUUGUAGUGAGGAAGCUGCAGAAAGCUGCAGUUUAGUAAUACAUCAUUUGAUAAUACAUCAUUGGUACCCAGGUAAUAAUAAUUAAAUCGGUG
rnacentral:lncRNA from 1 species